GUGCAAAUGAUGUAAUAGCAUAUUGUCUGACUAGAAUGAUGUGUUCAAAGGAACCACUGAUGCAC